rnacentral:rRNA from 1 species
CCUACGGGUGGCAGCAGUGGGGGAUAUUGCACAAUGGGGGAAACCCUGAUGCAGCGACGCCGCGUGGGCGAAGAAGUAUUUCGGUAUGUAAAGCCCUAUCAGCAGGGAAGAAGAAAUCACGGUACCUGAGGAAGAAGCACCGGCUAAAGACGUGCCAGCAGCCGCGGUAAUACGUAUGGUGCAAGCGUUAUCCGGAUUUACUGGGUGUAAAGGGAGCGCAGGCGGCACGGCAAGCCUGAUGGGAAAGCCCGGGGCCCAAGCGCGGGACUGCAUUGGGAACUACCGGGCUGGAGUGCCGGAGAGGUAGGCGGAAUGCGUGGUGUAGCGGUGAAAUGCGUAGAUAUGAGGAAGAACACCAGUGGCGAAGGCGGCCUACGGGACGGUGACUGACGCUGAGGCUCGAAAGCGUGGGGAGCAAACAGGAUUAGAUACCCCUGUAGUC